GACCCACUAGCUCAGGUGGUAGAGCACUUGACUUUUAAUCAAGGUGUCCGGAGUUCGAGUCUCCGGUGGGUCACCA
rnacentral:tRNA from 3 species